ACUUAAAUAAUUUAAAUAAAAUAUUGAUUUGUGGAGUCAAAAAUAUGAAAGUUCAUUUUAGGUU
rnacentral:tRNA from 1 species